AUUGAGAAGUGGCAAUUUCCAUGAAUUUGAAAUAAUCUGGUGGGCUACACGUGGCAAGCAUUUUGGGAAAGGUUGGAGUUGAGAAGAGUCUUUUGGCUUCCAGAAUCUUUCAGCUAAAUCUUGUGGCUCUCGUUUAUAUGUGGGGCUAUCUUCCCGGUGGUUUGCCGGAUAAAUCUGUUUUGCUCUCGGCGGAGCUGGUGCGGUUUCCGGGUUGUAACGACGGUGGAAGGAUGCGUGGGGCGGUGGUUGUGGAUUCGCCAUGGCCAUUUCAGGUGUUGAAGCUUUCCAUCUUUGAAAUGUUAUAACAGCCUGAUGAAGCCAGGUUCAAGGGGUAUGUAUAUGAGUCCACUUGGUGGGUCUAUGUGCGUGAGCCAUGCAUGGAGAAGUACCGCACAUCCAAUUCUGUCUAAACUAGAAAUAGCUCAAAGUCAUGCUAUGUUGUUUUAAAAGAUAGGUCACAUCAUAUAUGUGUGCGCUUGCAUUACUUGACCCCAACACUGGGGUCACUUACUAAGUAUUUCCUAAAAAACUCAAGUCAUAUGUUACACUUACGUUUCAAGUAAAAUAAGACAUCCAUGUACGAAUGACAGAGGCGACACAUGAAGACCAUAACAUCGUUUAUUGGGUUGUUUUCUAGUUUUUGGACGUAUGGUUUAUUUUUGUUUCUUAUAUGCUUUUGUAUUGAUUUAUUGAUCUUAUUUUUAAUGUGUAA